rnacentral:rRNA from 1 species
UACGAAGGGGGCUAGCGUUGCUCGGAAUCACUGGGCGUAAAGCGCACGUAGGCGGACUCUUAAGUCAGGGGUGAAAUCCUGGAGCUCAACUCCAGAACUGCCUUUGAUACUGAGAGCCUUGAGUCCGGAAGAGGUAAGUGGAACUGCGAGUGUAGAGGUGAAAUUCGUAGAUAUUCGCAAGAACACCGGUGGCGAAGGCGGCCAACUGGACCAUUACUGACGCUGAGGCGCGAAGGCGUGGGGAGCAAACAGG